AGUGUGAAGAAAUGACCCUGAAAAGCCUCUGGCAGAGGAUUCUUCUUUCAGGAUGGUGUCGCCUCCUCAGCAGCCCAUCCUCCUCCCCUGGACUCAAGCUCUCAUUCCAGUAACACUCCUUCCUCCUUCUCCAUCUUCAGGGGGAGGUUUGCCAGUCGGUGAGAACCCUUUGUUAAGCUGUGUAACCUCUGUGCAUAGUUUCCUCAUCAGCAAAGUCAGAAAAAGUAUGUACCUGAAGGACUGAUUGUAAGGCUGGGAUGAGAGAAUCCAUGUGAUCAGCCCUCACCAACAGGUGCUGCCCAGUUCAUGAGUGCUGCUGCUGUCCUGCCCAAGUACCCAGCUUGCAGAGUGCCAGAGUUAGAGUCCCAGGGGUGUUCUCCACAGCUGCAUGCUUGAUCCAGGCCUAUCAGAUAUAUUCCAUUGAAAGUCCUCAUUCUCAAAUUUAAAACAAAGACUUUUUGUGUACCUCAAUAGCAAUGCACACACAGUUGGCUUCACAAACAUAUUGUACAUUUCUUUUUUUCAUAUUUAUUCAACAAAUGUAUAUUGACUACCCACCGUGUGACAGGUGUUAUUUGUUGACGGAACCAGGCAUCAUCAGCAAACAAAACUGACAAAGCUUCCUGCCCUCUGUGGAAGGCAUCUGAGGAAGAGACUGGAUUUUGUAGCAACAUGUUAUUCUCAUUAUAAACUUUAUCAUUGGAAUACUAAAGCCAAAUCAUCCCCCAUCUCCUUGAUCAGGAUACCCACUUAAUCUAGGCAGCUACACAAUUGUGAGAGCCUUUGUUUUUUUCUGCUGAAACAUCCUUAAAAAGAUACCUCACAACCCAAGAUUUGGCUUUUCUUAAAUACGAUUUUUAAUUUUUUUCAUUUCUAUCUAGAGAUUUAAUUGGAAAUGGAAAAUCAUCAAUUUUCCAAUUAAAUGUCUGUUCCAAUCAACAUUAUACCUUUUAGGUUGUCAUUGUCAUUUUUAAGUUUAAGCAACUUUAAGGAUUUUGAAUCUGGCUGCCUGUAAAUUAAAGGUGAAAGUAAUCAUUGUGUUGGAUUGGAACAUUUUGUCAAUUGAGAGUGGUUUCCUUGUUCUUAGUGUAUGAAAAGUUUAUUUUUCUAAUGUAGAUUAAUAAAGGAGAUAAAGAAAAACAAAAUGAGU
rnacentral:lncRNA from 1 species